ACUCUUCUCUUGGUUGGAACUCUCUUGUUUGCCGCGCUGAUUUUCUCACUGCGUUUUAUCCUGAAAUGGCUCUCUCUCUAGCGUUUCAUCUUCUUUCUGAACUUGUUGAGGAGCUAAAGACUAGACCAUGUCCUGUUAUCUUCCUAGCUUUCUCUGGUGCUCCCAAAGCUUGUAUGUACAAAGUUUUACAGG